rnacentral:rRNA from 1 species
ACGCUGGCGGCGUGGCUAAAACAUGCAAGUCGCACGGAAAGGCUUUUUUGGAUCCUUCGGGUGAAGAAAAAGUACUCGAGUGGCGGAAGGGCGAGUAAUGUAUGGAUAACGUACCCCAGGCACCGGGAUAGCAGCGGGAAACUGUUGGUAAUACCGGAUGAUGUUCCAAACCCCUUGGGGCUUGGAAUCAAAGGAUGGCCUCUACUUGUAAGCUAUCGGCGUGGGAGCGGUCCAUAUCCUAUCAGCUAGUUGGCGGGGUAACGGCCCACCAAGGCAACGACGGGUAGCGGGACUGAGAGGUUGACCCGCCGCAUUGGGACUGAGACACUGCCCAGACUCCUACGGGAGGCUGCAGUAACGAAUAUUGGACAAUGAGCGAAAGCUUGAUCCAGCGACGCCGCGUGCAGGAAGAAGUCCUUCGGGAUGUAAACUGCUGUCAGGGACCACCAAGCAAGGAAGGUUAAUACCCUUCUGCGUUGAGGACUCCCAGAGGAAGCCACGGCUAACUUCGUGCCAGCAGCCGCGGUAAUACGAAGGUGGCGAGCGUUGUUCGGAAUCACUGGGCUUAAAGCGUGUGUAGGCGGACUGUCAAGCGUUUUGUGAAAGCCCUCGGCUUAACCGGGGAAUUGCUUGACGAACUGAUAGUCUUGAGGCAGGUAGGGGCAACUGGAACUCUUGGUGGAGCGGUGGAAUGCGUAGAUAUCAAGAGGAACGCCAGAGGCGAAGGCGAGUUGCUGGGCCUGUCCUGACGCUGAGACACGAAAGCCAGGGGAGCGAACGGGAUUAGAUACCCCGGUAGUCCUGGCCCUAAACGAUGUCCACUAGAUCGGAGGCACUCUGACGUGUUUCUGGUCGAAAUGAAAACGGUAAGUGGACCGCCUGGGGAGUACGGUCGCAAGGCUAAAACUCAAAGGAAUUGACGGGGGCUCACACAAGCGGUGGAGCAUGUUGCUUAAUUCGAUGCAACGCGAAGAACCUUAUCCUAGGCUUGACAUAUACGAAUGCCUACUGGGAAACCAGGUCGGCUGCCCUUCGGGGUGAAACGUAUACAGGUGCUGCAUGGCUGUCGUCAGCUCGUGUCGUGAGAUGUUGGGUUAAGUCCCGUAACGAGCGAAACCCUUGUCGUUAGUUGCCAGCGCGUAAUGGCGGGGACUCUAACGAGACUGCCGGUGUUAAACCGGAGGAAGGUGGGGAUGACGUCAAGUCCUCAUGGCCUUUAUGCCUAGGGCUGCAAACGUGCUACAAUGGCCGGUACAAAACGAAGCGAGACCGCGAGGUGGAGCAAAUCGUAAAAAACCGGCCCCGGUUCGGAUUGGAGUCUGCAACUCGACUCCAUGAAGUUGGAAUCGCUAGUAAUCGCGUAUCAGCGUGACGCGGUGAAUGUGUUCCUGAGCCUUGUACACACCGCCCGUCAAGUCAUGGAAGCCGGGAGCACCCGAAGU